GCGGUCGUGGCGGAACGGUAGACGCGCUAGCUUGAGGUGCUAGUGGGGCAACCCGUGGAAGUUCGAGUCUUCUCGACCGCA
rnacentral:tRNA from 1 species